GUACUUGCUUUGGCAGCACAUAUACUAAUUGGAACAAUACAGAGAAGAUUGGCAUGGUCGCUGCCCAAGGAUGACGUGAACAUUCUUGAAGCUUUCCAUAUUUUU